AGGACGAACGCUUGCGGCGUGCCUGAGAAAUGCAAGUCGAACGAGUUUAGAGAGCAAUCUUUAAGCUAGUGGCGAACGGUCGAGUAACACGUAAGCAAUCUGCCCGAGAGCGGGGGAUAAUCCACCGAAAGGUGGGGUAAUACCGCGCAACUUCGCUGGUUUUAUGAUCGGUGAAGAAAGAUUUAUCACUCUCGGAGGAGCUUGCGGCCUAUCAGCUAGUCGGUGGGGUCACGGCCUACCGAGGCGACGACGGGUAGCUGGUCUGAGAGGACGGCCAGCCGGACUGGGACUGAGACACGGCCCAGACUCCUACGGGAGGCAGCAGUGGGGAAUCUUGCGCAAUGGGCGAAAGCCUGACGCAGCGACGCCGCGUGUGGGAAGAAGGCCUUCGGGUUGUAACCACUUUCAGCAGGGAAGAGCGCAAGUGACGGUACCUGCAGAAGAAGCCCGGCCAACUACGUGCCAGCAGCCGC
rnacentral:rRNA from 1 species